rnacentral:rRNA from 1 species
AUUGCUAUUUGCACUAAAAAGUUUUUAGUGUAAAAUCGACUUUGUCGAAUAAAAUUCUGGGUAGAAUUAUGAUAAUGACAUUAUCUGCCCAUAAGUCUUGACCAAAUUACGUGCCAGCAGUCGCGGUAAUACGUAGAAGACAAGUGUUAUUCAUCUUUAAUAGGUUUAAAGGGUACUUAGACGGUAAAUCAAGCCUCAAAAAGGGACGAAUUUUCUAGAGUUUUAUGUGAAGGAGUUUUAAAGUACUACUGGUGUAGAGAUAAAAUUCAGUUAUACCUAACAUGGCACAGGUUAAGGCGAAAGCAUCUUCUUAUGUAAAAACUGACGUUGAAGGACGAAGGCUUUGUGUCUCGAACAGGAUUAGAUACCCUAGUAGUCUAAGCAGAAAAUGAUGAAUGUCAUAGAUUAGAUGCAAUUUGAUCUAUAAAUGAAAGUGUAAGCAUUCCACCUCAAGAGUAAUUUGGCAACAUUGGAACUGAAAUCAUUAGACCGUUUCUGAAACCAGUAGUGAAGUAUGUUGUUUAAUUUGAUAAUCCGCAAAAAACCUUACCAAAAAAUUAUUGAAUAGUUUAUUUAAUAAUUUCUUAAUGUGAAUAGAUAUAUUUUAUCAUACAAGCGUUGCACGGCUGUCUUCAGUUAAUGUCGUGAGACUUUGGUUAGUUCCAUUAAAUUAACGUAA